UCCGUAGGUGGCAAGCGUUGUCCGGAUUUACUGGGCGUAAAGAGCGCGCAGGCGGUCGUUCAAGUCGCGUGUGAAAGCCCCCGGCUCAACUGGGGAGGGUCACGCGAUACUGAUCGACUCGAAGGCAGGAGAGGGUAGUGGAAUUCCCGGUGUAGUGGUGAAAUGCGUAGAUAUUGGGAAGAACACCGGUGGCGAAAGCGCCUUGCUGGGUCUGCACUGACACUGAGGGACGAAAGCUAGGGGAGCGAAAGGG
rnacentral:rRNA from 1 species